rnacentral:lncRNA from 1 species
GGAACACAUGGGCAUUGCCAGUGCCCUUAAGCAAAGUGGUGCCUGUCUCCUCCAGGGCCACUCAACACAUCCAAUACUGUGACACAGAGGACUGGAGUUUGGUUCCCAUCCCCAUGUUGGGCAGAUCAUGACGACCUGUGACUACAGCUUCAGAGGGCCUAGAACCUUCUUCUGGAGACCCUGCAUGCUCUGCCUUCAUGUGCUCCUUCCCCUAAGACACAGACGCCUUCCUAACCGUCUCUGGUGACAACAGGACAGGAACAUCACAGCUGUUUAUGUGCUAUGAUUUCCUAUGUGUGCACACAGGAAUAAGACUCUCUUGCCUUGCCCACAAACCACUCUUCACUCUUGGGAUGACCUUGCUCCAGCUGGGAUCAGAAGUUCUAGAGCAUUCUGGUGUUAUAAUUGGUAGCAAUUUGCCUGAGAUGUGCCAACUGAUCCAGAUGAAGAAAUCAGGCUACACACGUACAAUAGAAGGGAAUGUGCUUCAGCCUUGGAAGAGGCAGUCCUGACGUCUAUGAGUGAACAUGGAAGACAAAUGUGCCCCUCAGGGAAAGCGACACAUACAAGUUUGUCUAGAGAACUAGAAUAUUCUUUCUUGUGGAAAGAAAGGCCAUUUCCCACGAGAGCUGAUGACCAGGAUGCGAAAUGACAUCUGGUGACCGCGCAGCUGCGGAUUGUCGAAUCCAAAGCAAUAAAAGGAUCUAGAAAUGUGAGCCAGUACUCUUUAAAAUAAAAAUAAAAAUAAAACCAUUCUAUUAUAAUGAACUCACAAAUGAAA